rnacentral:rRNA from 1 species
UACAGAGGUGGCAAGCGUUGUUCGGAAUUACUGGGCGUAAAGGGCGCGUAGGUGGCCAUCUAAGUCAGACGUGAAAUCCCCCGGCUUAACCUGGGAACUGCGUCUGAUACUGGACGGCUAGAGUAUGGGAGAGGGAUGCGGAAUUCCAGGUGUAGCGGUGAAAUGCGUAGAUAUCUGGAGGAACACCGGUGGCGAAGGCGGCAUCCUGGACCAAUACUGACGCUGAGGAGCGAAAGCUAGGGGAGCAAACGGG